rnacentral:rRNA from 1 species
AGACGUCUACAUUAGAUACCCCCGUAGUCCCAGCCGUAAACUAUGCGCGUUAGGUGUAUCGGUGACCACGAGUUACCGAGGUGCCGAAGGGAAACCGUGAAACGUGCCGCCUGGGAAGUACGGUCGCAAGGCUGAAACUUAAAGGAAUUGGCGGGGGAGCACUACAACAGGUGGAGCCUGCGGUUUAAUUGGACUCAACGCCGGGAAGCUCACCGGAUAGGACAGCAGAAUGAUUGCCGGGCUGAAGACUCUGCAUGACUAGCUG